rnacentral:rRNA from 1 species
GACGAACGCUGGCGGCGUGCUUAACACAUGCAAGUCGAACGGAAAGGCCCUGCUUUUGUGGGGUGCUCGAGUGGCGAACGGGUGAGUAACACGUGAGUAACCUGCCCUUGACUUUGGGAUAACUUCAGGAAACUGGGGCUAAUACCGGAUAGGAGCUCCUGCUGCAUGGUGGGGGUUGGAAAGUUUCGGCGGUUGGGGAUGGACUCGCGGCUUAUCAGCUUGUUGGUGGGGUAGUGGCUUACCAAGGCUUUGACGGGUAGCCGGCCUGAGAGGGUGACCGGCCACAUUGGGACUGAGAUACGGCCCAGACUCCUACGGGAGGAAGCAGUGGGGAAUAUUGCACAAUGGGCGGAGGCCGGAUGCAGCAACGCCGCGUGCGGGAGGACGGCCUUCGGGUUGUAAACCGCUUUCGCCUGUGACGAAGCGUGAGUGACGGUAAUGGGUAAAGAAGCACCGGCUAACUACGU